GUAUUGUCUUUUGUCAAUGGCUGUUAUGAAAUCAUUUAGGACCUUGAGCGUGGCUGAGGUGCACCCAUGACCAGCUCGGAAACCAGAUUGCAUAGCGGAAAAGGUACGGUGGGAUUCGAAAUGGUCGGUGAUCUGUUUGUUAACUUGGCUUUCGAACACCUUAGAAAGGCAGGGUAGGAUAGAUAUAGGUCUGUAACAGUUUGGGUCUAGAGCGUCUCCCCCUUUGAAGAGGGGGAUGACCGCGGCAGCUUUCCAAUCUUUGGGGAUCUCAGACGAUACGAACAGGUUGAACAGGCUGGUAAUAGGGGUUGCAACAAAUGCGGCGGAUCAUUUCAAAUGCCCAAGGUUCAGAGUUAUUUGGAACAGGUCCUAUACCCUAGGUUCAGAGUUAUUUGAAACAGGUCCUAUACCCUAGGUUCAGAGUUAUUUGGAACAGGUCCUAUACCCUAGGUUCAGAGUUAUUUGGAACAGGUCCUAUACCCUAGGUUCAGAGUUAUUUGGAACAGGUCCUAUACCCUAGGUUCAGAGUUAUUUGGAACAGGUCCUAUGCCCUAGGUUCAGAGUUAUUUGAAACAGGUCCUAUACCCUAGGUUCAGUUAUUUGGAACAGGUCCUAUACCCUAGGUUCAGUUAUUUGGAACAGGUCCUAUACCCUAGGUUCAGUUAUUUGGAACAGGUCCUAUACCCUAGGUUCAGAGUUAUUUGAAACAGGUCCUAUACCCUAGGUUCAGUUAUUUGAAACAGGUCCUAUACCCUAGGUUCAGUUAUUUGAAACAGGUCCUAUGCCCUAGGUUCAGUUAUUUGGAACAGGUCCUAUACCCUAGGUUCAGAGUUAUUUGGAACAGGUCCUAUACCCUAGGUUCAGUUAUUUGGAACAGGUCCUAUACCCUAGGUUCAGUUAUUUGGAACAGGUCCUAUACCCUAGGUUCAGUUAUUUGAAACAGGUCCUAUACCCUAGGUUCAGUUAUUUGGAACAGGUCCUAUACCCUAGGUUCAGUUAUUUGAAACAGGUCCUAUACCCUAGGUUCAGUUAUUUGAAACAGGUCCUAUACCCUAGGUUCAGUUAUUUGAAACAGGUCCUAUACCCUAGGUUCAGUUAUUUGAAACAGGUCCUAUGCCCUAGGUUCAGAGUUAUUUGGCAACUGUAGUUUUGAAUGAUACAAACCUUAGAAUGACCUAGAAAAACACCACAUAUGGGCUGCUUGAUGUGACUGGGCUGUUGAUAAUUUGAGAACAUUGCAGAGAAAGCUUGCCCUCUGUUCCUUGCCUGAGGCUACACAUGCGGUUCUCUCAUCAACUGAUCAUAUUGUCACCCAUCUGACUAUUCGCAAUUUCAUCUGUUCUUUACUAAUACAGUGCAUUUGGAAAGUAUUCAGACCCCUCAACUUUUUCCACAUUGAUAGGUUACAGCCUUAUUCUACAAUUGAUUCAAUAGUUUUUUCCCCUCAAUCCACACACAACACCCUAUGAUGACAAAGCACGAAACAGGUUUAGAUAUACACUUGCUACAAUAACAAAAUUUGAAAUAUAACAUUGACAUUAGUAUUCAGACCCUUUACUCAGUACUUUGUUGAAGCACCUUUGGCAGCAAUUACAGCCUCGA